UUUUGGAUACAAACAACAAACCUUCUAGAAA
rnacentral:piRNA from 1 species